UUUCAUAGAGGUAGACAAGGUUCUCUACACGCUUAGUAAUAACUAAGUCACCAGAGAUGAGGGAUAUGCCGACCCUCCUAUGAUA
rnacentral:ncRNA from 17 species